rnacentral:lncRNA from 1 species
GAUUCUGAUUGAUGGGGAAGAGAAGAAGAAGGCAAAUUUCCUCUCAGCUGAAGAUUUUGAGCCAGCUCUAAUUCCUGCUGAGACUAUUCCGGAUCCAAAUGAUAAGAAGCCAGAGGAUUGGGAUGAAAGGGCAAAGAUUCCAGACCCAGAUGCAGUGAAGCCAGAUGAUUGGGAUGAGGAUGCACCCAUGGAGAUUGAAGAUGAGGAAGCUGUCAAGCCUGAAGGGUGGUUGGAUGAUGAGCCUGAGGAGAUCGAUGAUCCUGAUGCUUCAAAGCCAGAAGAUUGGGAUGAUGAGGAGGACGGUGAAUGGGAAGCUCCUAAAAUUGAUAACCCAAAGUGUGAGAUAGCACCUGGAUGUGGUGAGUGGAAGAGGCCAAUGAAGAGGAAUCCUGCUUACAAAGGAAAAUGGCAUGCCCCUCUAAUUGACAAUCCAGAUUAUAAGGGCAUUUGGAAGCCUCAGCAGAUCCCAAACC